UGUUCAUGGGCUGUAGAUGGGUGGAUCUCAGCUAGAGACGUGGAAACAAACAGUUCAGUGAUUUUCCAUGGGUACAGCUAAACAGAAACGUCAGCCACCCCCGUUGUGGUGAGUUGCCAAUACCUACAGUCAACUAUAAUGAUGUCAUUAGCCAGGUGCAAUAAAAUACCUCCUCCCAAACUGUUGGCUCUUCACAAAUCAUCACCACUGAAGCUGAGAGGGUGUACCUCAUAAUAACAGUUUGACCACAGAAAGAGAAUGCAUGUUCGUAGUGGUGUGCUGCAAAUGGUUGCGAUGGCCAUUUUCUUGCUGGCUCAACACGGGACUGCGAUCGGAACCAACGGCACCGUUCCCACGAGCAGCGGCACCAACUCCAAUCUCCCACUCUCCUCUCUGUGGGGGUUUGGCAUCAUGCUCCUGGCUCUGUCCCCCACUCUCCUGCAGCAGAUAGCUACUCUCUGAUGGCAGCAAGGCAGCUGUAUUCACCAUGCACUUCCUCAAUCUGGGAUGUCCAACUAUUCUUUAACUACAUACAUUCUCACCCUAAGGAAGACCACGAUGACCUGUACUCAUUGGACACUUUAUAAAAACCUUUUGUUAUCUACUAAAAUAAAAUAUAGCACACAUGUUAAAACAACUAUGUUUCUGAAUAAAUGCAUCAUGAUAAAGUGAA